CCGUAGCCCUUCGUUGCGCUCCCUCUGGCAGCUCCAUGCCUCUCGAGAGGGGCGAUGUGCAGGGCCCCCCAGCUGAUGUUGCCCUUCCCCAGGGCCAAGCUCUGCGCGCUGCCCUGUACCGCUUCCGCUGCCCGCUCUGCCAGGACAUGCAGACCUUCCAGGCAGAGAUGUACCGCCUCGGCAUCAAAAUCCCUGACAGGGAUGCAGCCUGGGAAGAGGAUGGAGCCUUUGAAGACCUCUUGCAGAGGCACAGCUCCUGCGAUGCCAGCCUGUGCCUGUGCCCCCAGGGACGGGAGCAGUCGGAGGACGUGGGGCCCUGGAGGCUGCUGCUCUGCAGCUCCUGCGGUUCCUCUGGGACCCACCAGCUCUGCUCCGCCAUCGGAGAAGACACCGAGAACUGGGAGUGCAGCGGCUGCAGUGGUGUGGGCACCGCCCCUUCAGGAUCAGCCCCGGUGUAGUGAACCCUGCACAGCACCCCAGCUCCUGGCACUUCGGCUCCAGCACAUGAGGCUGCGACGCUCCAGGGACACCCCGACGCCCAGCUGCCUGCACAGCCCACAGGAAGCCCCUCGGCCACUCCAGCCUCCCAGCCGCUGA
rnacentral:lncRNA from 1 species